AAAUAAGUGCCUGAAAAAGGAUUAUCUUGAUAGGAUAAAUUAUGUAUAUAUUACCUUAUUUU
rnacentral:tRNA from 1 species